rnacentral:pre_miRNA from 1 species
GGCCCAAAUUUGAAGUAGAGUAGAUCAUUAGGAUCAGCUGGCCAUACUAAUUUACUCUUCUUCAAGUUCGCGCCC